CCUGUUCGAGCGUCAUUAUAACCAUUCAAGUUUCGACUUGGUAUUGGGGUUCGCGGUUUCGCGGCCCUUAAAAUCAGUGGCGGUGCAUCUGGCUCUAAGCGUAGUAAUUCUCUCGCUACAGGGUCCGGGUGGUUGCUUGCCAGAAUCCCCCACUUUUAUAGGUUGACCUCGGAUCAGGUAGGGAUACCCGCUGAACUUAA
rnacentral:misc_RNA from 1 species